GCAGUCAGAGGCGAUGAAGGACGUGCUAAUCUGCGAAAAGCGUCGGUAAGGUGAUAUGAACCGUUAUAACCGGCGAUGUCCGAAUGGGGAAACCCAGUGUGAUUCGUCACACUAUCGUUAACUGAAUACAUAGGUUAACGAGGCGAACCGGGGGAACUGAAACAUCUAAGUACCCCGAGGAAAAGAAAUCAACCGAGAUUCCCC
rnacentral:rRNA from 1 species